ensembl:lncRNA
CUUUGAUAAAUUCAGUGUCUGCACAGGAGACAGUAAACACAGUACAGUGAUGAAUAACUGUCAGUGAAGCUUGUAUGGUACUGUGAAGGAAGGGAAAAAUAUUUUAAUUCAUGAUAAACAGAAAUGAACUGUUUCCUAAGUUGGAGCAGGGCUUCAUGUUGGAGAAAAAUAGCAGUGAGCAGAACAACUAGAGAGAAUGCAUUAUCUGUACUGCUGGAGAUCUUCAUGGACAGCCUAUGCAGACUCCUUCUGGGCAGGUGUAAGAGACUAUUCUUUUAUAUCAUUGACUCAAAGUUUGCUGAGGAACAAGUCCAGGCAAGUCCUGGGCAAAGGCAGAGAAACACUGAUGGACAGGUCCUGGCUAAGGAUUGUGAAAUCCUCUAAGGAGCACAGAUGGACAAGGCCAGGGGCAUCGAGAGAGAGAUAAGCUGCUGCUCAUGGCCGGGAAGCGGUCUUUUUGUGUGGACUUAUCUCAAGGAAAAUGGCCAUCUCAGGAGGUAUGCACAGGACUCUUGCUCAAGCACCCAGGAAUGUCACGUAGGCAGCAGAAAAUGGAGGAUAAAAGAGGGUCCAAUCACCGCAACGUGGGAAGCUGAUCCUUCACCACAACCACGGACUUGAGGGGUUCUCUGCCAUCUGAUCCUUCACCGCAACGUGUAGACGGAUCUCUACGUGGAGACUGAUCUCUCACCACGACACGAGCUUCCUGCCUUCCGAUCCUCCUCUACGGACCGUUUGCUGAUGGACUUCCCUGGGCCUGCUACCUGAGACCUGCUGCUUCCUCCCUGACCUGCAUCCUCUCACUGCCCCAGACCGGCCUCGCUGCUCCUGCCCUUCGGCCUCGGACCGUCGGAACAUCGUGCAACGGGACUGCUGCCGGAUCCUGGUGGGCAUGGAAAUGCAAAGUUUAUCCCUGCGCAGAUAACAAUUGCUAGGGCUAUGCUAAAGGCAACAUUUAGGACCACAGGGGCUGAGUGAUUCAUAGGAAUGUGCUGACUCUCUGCUGAGCUGUGAUUUUCACUCAAGCAAGAAGAACCUUUAACAGUUGCAGCAAACCACGUGAAACGUCAAAGUGAAGUCACUCAAGUUCCUAGUACUUUAAGAGAGAUUAUUUCAACAGAAAUUUUAUUCCCCUUGAAAAAGAAUGGAAGAUUCUCCACCUAUCUUUCAUGAAAGAAUGAUUUAUUUUUUACAGCUCCCUAUCAGUCACAGAAGCUUUGAUACUGGUUGAUUAAUCAAAGAGACUUUAUCAUCAAUCACAGUGAAACAUUUUUUUAAGUGCAGUUUUCCCCCGUGCCCCCAGACAAAAGACUUCACAUCAUUGUAACACAAGGACAAAACUGCAGCUUCCUAAGCAAAGCGGAAUACACCUUCGCAGUGCAUAUUUCUGUAAGAAGAGAGAAAAAUCCAAUCCUCAUGCCAAAUUUUUGCUGUUGGAUUCAGCUUUCUUGGACUUUGAUGCUAAACUACUGUUAGCUAUCAGUGAUCAUCACUGGGAUUCGGUUAAAUGUGCUUUGAAAUUUAUGGCUUGCUUUUAUUUUGCUCUGCUGAAGGACAGAUGAAGAUGGACAACCAUUUGGAUGAUGGAAAUUAGCUAGAAAGGGACCUGUAUUUUUAUGAAUUACCCCAUUUUGGGGAGGUGGUUGUAUCUGGACCCAAGAGUUGGAUGCGAUCCCUAUGGGUCCCUGGCAACUCUGGAUAUUCUAUAUAAGGUUAGGCAUUCUGCCAGUGCACAGCAGUCUU